AUGGAAUACAACCCUGAAAUACUCAGCUGGAACGUGCGUGGUCUAAACAACCCGGCAAAAAGAAAGGCGGUGAAGGACUUUGUUGCCUCGGUGAAAGUUAACCUAGUGUGCUUUCAGGAGACUAAACUAGAUGUAAUAGAUCACUUUAUGUUAAUGGAAUGCCUAGGAUGGUCUUUUGACGGCUUUGUGUAUUUACCGGCGGUGGAAACUCGUGGAGGGAUUCUUUUGGCGUGGGAUACCACCAUUCUUUCGGUGGAUACUGUGCAGUUCGACACUAACUCUUUGACGACACUCGUGCAUGCAAAGGAUGGUUCCACUUGGUGGAUCACUGCGGUGUAUGCCCCUCAAGGUGACGAGCUCAAGACUCAGUUCUUGCAGGAGCUGGCCAUGCGGCGUUCCCUUUGCCCUGGCCCAUGGCUCAUUUUAGGUGAUUUUAACAUGAUAUUGCGCGCGAGUGAGAAGAACAAUGCCAACAUCAAUAGGGCGAUGAUGUCCAAGUUCAGAAGUUUUGUCGAUGAUCAUGAACUAAAGGAGCUUUACAUGCAUGGUCGCAUGUACACCUGGUCGAACGAGAGAGACACACCGACGAUGACCAAGAUAGACAGAAUCUUGGUGUCGGUCGAGUGGGAUCUGGGUCACCCGGACAAAUUACUCCAAGCGCUUUCUUCGUCUGUCUCAGACCACGCGCCUCUGCACCUAUGCACCAGCAUGCAUUUUUGCCCCAAGAAUAGAUUCUGA
rnacentral:rRNA from 1 species